rnacentral:tRNA from 1 species
GUCCCCAUCGUCUAGCCAGGUUAGGACACCAGAUUUUCGAUCUGAUAGCACCGGUUCAAAUCCGGUUGGGGACG